rnacentral:piRNA from 1 species
UGCCAUUUCAGGGUGUUCUGCUCAGCUAG